CGAAUAUUUUCGUUGUUUCAAAGUAUAAAAGAGUGGUAUUUAACUUCAUCUAGAGCUCUAAGAAUAUAUAUUUGGCAAUCUGUAAUAGAUAAAUAGAUAUAUGAAAAUGAAUACAAAGAGUACCCAAUUUAUUGAAAUUUUGAAAACAAAUCAAGAAGUGGCGGAUUUUAUUCCCAGAAGAUAAGCCAGAUGUACGAAAGCAUUCAGAGCGUAGCAGCCUACAAAUACUUUAUAAUUAGCCUUUUACCUAGGUUACUCUAUAAAAUAUUUGGAACAUAAUAUUCGAGGAAAAUAUUUCACAAAAGGGUUAGCACAGAUGAAUUGAUGUAUAUUUAGAGAAGGGAAUAAUGACCAACCUGUAAUAAAAUACUGCUUUGAGGAUUGUGAAACUCUGGAUCCAUAUGGAAUGCGUCUAGUAGACCAUUGUUCCUGGCCUUUAUUUCUACAGCGUUUGUACGGGUAAUAAGAGAUGGAAUGAAUAUUUUCUCAAAAUGUAAAUACGUAAUAUUAUGUAAUUUAGUUGUAUUAAAUAUUCUUGAAAAGA